CUUUAAAGUAACAACACUUGGCCAGCACCUCUUAAGGAAAGGACUAUUAAUGCUAUGUUUGAUUUCAUUCAAUUCCCUGGUUCUCUAGAAGAAGACUUUUGUAUGCAUUUCCCAUAAGGUCCUAUGUUAAACUAAGCCCCCACCCCGCUGGCAGCCAUCUUGGAUGAUUGAUCGGAGACAAAGUAACAACGCUUGGUCAGCAUCUCAUAAGGAACAUUCAUGCCAUGUUUGGUUUCAUUCCAUUCAGUGGUUCUCUAGAGAAGUCAUUUGUAUGAAUUUCCAAUAAGGUCCUAUGUUAAACUAAGUCCCCCGCUGGCGGCCAUCUUGGAUGAUGGAUCAGCUACAAAGUAACAACACUUGGUCAUCACCUCAUAAGGAACAUGCAUGCCAUGUUUGGUUUCAUUCCAUUCAGUGGUUCUCUACAAGAAGUCAUUUGUAUGCAUAUCCCAUAGGGUCCC
rnacentral:lncRNA from 1 species